GGGGGAUAGCCCGGGGAAACCCGGAUUAAUACCGCGUACGCCCUUCGGGGGAAAGCAGGGGAUCUUCGGACCUUGCGCUAUUGGAUGUGCCUAUGUCGGAUUAUCUAGUUGGUGGGGUAAAGGCCUACCAAGGCGACGAUCCGUAGCUGGUCUGAGAGGAUGAUCAGCCACAUCGGGACUGAGACACGGCCCGAACUCCUACGGGAGGCAGCAGUGGGGAAUAUUGGACAAUGGGGGCAACCCUGAUCCAGCCAUGCCGCGUGUGUGAAGAAGGCUUUCGGGUUGUAAAGCACUUUCAGUGAGGAGGAAAAGUUUGUCGUUAAUACCGGUCAGCCUUGACGUUACUCACAGAAGAAGCACCGGCUAACUCCGUGCCAGCAGCCGCGGUAAUACGGAGGGUGCAAGCGUUAAUCGGAAUUACUGGGCGUAAAGCGCGCGUAGUGGUUUGAUAAGCGAGAUGUGAAAGCCCCGGGCUUAACCUGGGAACGGCAUUUCGAACUGUCAAGCUAGAGUAUGGUAGAGGAGUGUGGAAUUUCCUGUGUAGCGGUGAAAUGCGU
rnacentral:rRNA from 1 species